rnacentral:rRNA from 1 species
CUACACACGUGCCUAACAAGUGGGGCGGUAACGAAAGGGUCGACCGAACCCGCGAGGGGAGCCAAUCCCAAAAAGCCGCUCUCAGUUCGGAUUGCAGGCUGCAACUCGCCUGCAUGAAGCCGGAAUCGCUAGUAAUCGCGGAUCAGCAUGCCGCGGUGAAUACGUUCCCGGGCCUU